AUGUGGGCAAUCUGGAUGUCUAGGAAUAAUGUUACUCAUGACAAACAAAGCUUGGAUCCAGUGGAAUCAAUGAAGAGAACCAGAGAGGCUCUGGCGAUCCUAGAAUUGCCUAUGGACCAAGCUAAGAUCCUGCUUGGACACGGCUGGCGUCCUGCUGCUGAAGGUUUCAUAAAGAUCAAUGUUGAUGCAGGUAUCUCUAUGGAAGCCAGGCUCGCAGGUGUGGGAGGAGUUGCUCGUUCAUGUACAACUUAUCUCGGUGCCUGGUGCAAGCCGUUUCAUGGCGUCACUGAUUCACUUCUCGCAGAGGCUCUAGCCCUCCGUGAAGGUGUAAUCUUCGCAAAGCUUCGUGGCUUUGAGCGGGUGCAGUUAGAGACUGACAGUCAAGAUGUGGUCGAUCUCUGGAACUCGCGCCAUUCUUCGCGCUCUUUGAUAGCGUCAGUGCUUCUAGAUAUUGAAGGGUUAGCAGAUAGUUUUACUUCUUUUAGUAUCCAUCAUGUAAAGAGGCAUUCGAAUGUUCCUGCCCACUUGUGUGCGAAAAAUGCUUGCACACUCGAGGGGACAGACUGCUGGAUGUUCUCUCCCCCUGGGUUCUUGGUGACCUGCCUUAUGGCAGACAGCACCGGAGCUCGGUUGAUUGAAUAA
rnacentral:rRNA from 1 species